CAGCCGCCUCGGUAAUACCGGCGGCCCGAGUGGCGGUCACUAUUAUUGGGCUUAAAGCGUCCGUAGCCGGGUUGGGAAGUCCUCCGGGAAAUCUGGCCGCUUAACGGUCAGAAUGCCGGAGGAUACUCCCAGCCUAGGGAGCGGGAGAGGCCGAGGGUAUUCCCGGAGUAGGGGUGAAAUCCUAUAAUCCCAGGGGGACCGCCAGUGGCGAAGGCGCCCCGCUGGAACGGGUCCGACGGUGAGGGACGAAGGCCAGGGGAGCAAACCGGAUUAGAUACCCGGGUAGUCCUGGCUGUAAAGGAUGCGGGCUAGGUGUCGGGUGAGCUUCGGGCUCGCCCGGUGCCGUAGGGAAGCCGUUAAGCCCGCCGCCUGGGGAGUACGGCCGCAAGGCUGAAACUUAAAGGAAUUGGCGGG
rnacentral:rRNA from 1 species